rnacentral:rRNA from 1 species
AUUGAACGCUGGCGGAAUGCUUUACACAUGCAAGUCGAACGGCAGCACGGACUUCGGUCUGGUGGCGAGUGGCGAACGGGUGAGUAAUGUAUCGGAACGUGCCCAGUCGUGGGGGAUAACGUAGUGAAAAUUACGCUAAUACCGCAUACGAUCUAUGGAUGAAAGCGGGGGAUCGCAAGACAUCGCGCGAUUGGAGCGGCCGAUAUCAGAUUAAGUAGUUGGUGGGGUAAAGGCCCACCAAGCCAACGAUCUGUAGAUGGUCUGAGAGGACGACCAGCCACACUGGAACUGAGACACGGUCCAGACUCCUACGGGAGGCAGCAGUGGGGAAUUUUGGACAAUGGGCGAAAGCCUGAUCCAGCCAUUCCGCGUGCAGGAUGAAGGCCCUCGGGUUGUAAACUGCUUUUGUACAGAACGAAAAGGUUUCUACUAAUACUAGGAGCUCAUGACGGUACUGUAAGAAUAAGCACCGGCUAACUACGUGCCAGCCGCCGCCGUAA